CGUCGUUUGUGCUCAAGGGGGACGCGACGCACAAUCAGGCGAUGGUGCACUGGACGGGCGAGAACAGCAGUGUGAUCUUGAUCCUGACCAAGUAUUACCACGCAGACAUGGGGAAGGUUCUGGAAAGUUCUCUGUGGCGGUCGUCGGACUUCGGCACAUCCUACACCAAGCUCACCCUCCAGCCUGGUGUCACCACCGUCAUCGACAACUUCUACAUCUGCCCGACCAACAAG